UCCUGGGAUAGCUCAGUUAGUAGGGCAUGAGACUCUUAAUUUCACAGUCAUCGGUUCGAGCCCCAUGUUGGGCA